rnacentral:rRNA from 1 species
AUUUGUCGUUAGGCAAUGUGGUGUUUAGGUCGGCUCGUGGGAYUGCCACUCCAUUCGAAGUCCAGCAUUGAGUAUGGUACCCUGGAUUUGGCCCAGAGAGGGUGAAAGGCCCGUGCGAAUGGAUGUUUCAGACAUGAAAGGCAGUUCAUCAGGUCGACCUUCGAGUCGGGUUGUUUGAGAAUGCAGCCCUAAGUGGGUGGUAAACUCCAUCCAAGGCUAAAUACUAGCACGAGUCCGAUAGCGAACAAGUACCGUGAGGGAAAGUUGAAAAGUACUCUGAAGAGAGAGUAAACAGUACGUGAAACCGUAUAGAGGUAAACGGGUGGCGUCAAGCUGCAAGCCCAGAGGAUUCAGUUGGUCGUUGUGUGUGUAUGCCUGUGUAUCUCAGUCGGUGGUAGAAGGGCAGUCCACUGGUGACGGUGGGUCCAGUCGCAAGGCUGUGAUGUGCGUUCCGCUCUGGUUGGCGGUGUGCGCUGCUCGACUAUUGGACUGGGCGACCAAUGCACUUCCUCUGAUAUGGUGAACACCACGACCGGUG